rnacentral:rRNA from 1 species
UGGGGAAUUUUGGACAAUGGGCGAAAGCCUGAUCCAGCAAUGCCGCGUGUGUGAAGAAGGCCUUCGGGUUGUAAAGCACUUUUGUCCGGAAAGAAAUCCUUGGCUCUAAUACAGUCGGGGGAUGACGGUACCGGAAGAAUAAGCACCGGCUAACUACGUGCCAGCAGCCGCGGUAAUACGUAGGGUGCAAGCGUUAAUCGGAAUUACUGGGCGUAAAGCGUGCGCAGGCGGUUUGCUAAGACCGAUGUGAAAUCCCGGGCUCAACCUGGGAACUGCAUUGGUGACUGGCAGGCUAGAGUAUGGCAGAGGGGGGUAGAAUUCCACGUGUAGCAGUGAAAUGCGUAGAGAUGUGGAGGAAUACCGAUGGCGAAGGCAGCCCCCUGGGCCAAUACUGACGCUCAUGCACGAAAGCGUGGGGAGCAAAACAGGAUUAGAUACCCUGGUAGUCCACGCCCUAAACGAUGUCAACUAGUUGUUGGGGAUUCAUUUCCUUAGUAACGUAGCUAACGCGUGAAGUUGACCGCCUGGGGAGUACGGUCGCAAGAUUAAAACUUAAAUGAAUUGACGGGGUCAUAGCUGUUUCCU